AGCUAUUUAGAUACUCUGAUGGAU
rnacentral:siRNA from 1 species